AUGGGCACCCGCUUGCCACCUCCACAGCCGGAGGCACAGCCCCUGGGGAGGAGAGCCCUGAUUUGUGUUCCUCUCUCUUCCCCGUUAAUAAUGGGAUUAAAAGCAAGUUGCUGCCAAGGAGAGAGACUGGCUUAAAAAAAUACAUAACCCAAGAACAUUUUAAGAGAAUGAAAAACUUCAGCCAUCAGCACUUUUUAUUUAGACCUGAAUUCAUGAAUUUUAACCAAAUAAACACAGGCAUGUUAGGUAUUAAUAUAUGUACGAUUAUGCAAAACCACUAUUAUGGCUGUAAUGAAAAUUAGAUUCUAACGCUUGUGGUGUUCCAGGAGGGAGGCAUCCACCGGUUUCUAGCGCGGUGACCUCGGAUUGCUGUCACCAUGGUAACAGGCUGCCGUGGGAAUCUGUGGACGCCCGGCUGGUCCUGUCGGGAGGGGUGGGGGUAGGGCCAGGCCGGGCUGGUGCGGAUUUGCCGGCCCCCAUCUGGGCAGAGUGGGGGCACUUUGUCCCCUGGGCAGAGGCCAGCCUGAGCCUCAGAGGAAAGGGGGCCGGUCAUCAGCAGGAGGAGAUUGGUGGGGCAGAAAUAGCAGGUACACUGGGCCCCGCCCCACUCACCCUCAUCUUCCUGUUCCCCCUCAGGCUGCCCCUCCAGGGAGGCGUCCGUGUCAUCUUCAGUAAAUCGUGGCUGCACACCCACACACGCCCAGCCUCUGCUAGGUGCUGGGGACACAAGGAUGAUGGGGCCCUGUGCUCAUGGAGCCCGCACCUCAGAGUGGGAGAAAGAUCCCAGACAGACAGGCACACAGCUGGGCCAUUUCAGAGCCUGCAAGUGUCAUGAAGGCAGCAGAGCCGAUGAGAGGCAGGAGCCUCAGAGGGCAGCGUCCAGAUAAGACCCAGGGCACCUGGCUACAUGAGAACAUCAGACACGCCAGGAACACGUUUACAGCGUGAGCAGGUCCCAUGCGGUAUUUGGGACAUAUUCACACUAAAAAGUUAUUUGUUGCUUUAUCUGAAA